rnacentral:rRNA from 1 species
UGGGGAAUAUUGCGCAAUGGGGGAAACCCUGACGCAGCAACGCCGCGUGAUCGAAGAAGGUCUUCGGAUUGUAAAGAUCUUUUAUCAGGGACGAAGAAAGUGACGGUACCUGAUGAAUAAGCUCCGGCUAACUACGUGCCAGCAGCCGCGGUAAUACGUAGGGAGCGAGCGUUAUCCGGAUUUACUGGGUGUAAAGGGCGAGUAGGCGGGCUGGUAAGUUGGAAGUGAAAUGUCGGGGCUUAACCCCGGAACUGCUUUCAAAACUGCUGGUCUUGAGUGAUGGAGAGGCAGGCGGAAUUCCUAGUGUAGCGGUGAAAUGCGUAGAUAUUAGGAGGAACACCAGUGGCGAAGGCGGCCUGCUGGACAUUAACUGACGCUGAGGAGCGAAAGCGUGGGGAGCAAACAGGA